rnacentral:lncRNA from 1 species
AUGCAGGUGGCACUGGGUGUCCCCACGGAGGUGGCACUGGGUGUCCCCACGGAGGUGGCACUGGGUGUCCCCAUGGAGGUGACACUGUGUGUCCCAUGCAGGUGGCACUGGGUGUCCCAUGCAGGUGGCACUGGGUGUCCCAUGGAGGUGGCACUGGGUGUCCCAUGCAGGUGGCACUGUGUGUCCCAUGCGGGUGGCACUGGGUGUCCAUGCAGGUGGCACUGGGUGUCCCAUGGAGGUGGCACUGGGUGUCCCCAUGGAGGUGGCACUGGGUGUCCAUGCAGGUGGCACUGGGUGUCCCAUGCAGGUGGCACUGGGUGUCCCAUGCAGGUGGCACUGGGUGUCCCCACGGAGGUGGCACUGGGUGUCCCCACGGAGGUGGCACUGGGUGUCCCAUGGGAGUGGCACUGGGUGUCCCAUGUAGGUGGCACUGUGUGUCCCAUGCAGGUGGCACUGGGUGUCCCAUGCAGGUGGCACUGUGUGUCCCAUGGGAGUGGCACUGGGUGUCCCCAUGGAGGUGGCACUGGGUGUCCCAUGGGAGUGGAACUGGGUGUCCCCAUGGAGGUGGCACUGGGUGUCCAUGCAGGUGGCACUGGGUGUCCCAUGGGAGUGGCACUGGGUGUCCCAUGGAGGUGGCACUGGGUGUCCCAUGGAAGUGGCACUGUGUGUCCCAUGGGAGUGGCACUGGGUGUCCCAUGGAGGUGGCACUGGGUGUCCCAUGCAGGUGGCACUGGGUGUCCAUGGAGGUGGCACUGGGUGUCCCAUGGAGGUGGCACUGGGUGUCCCAUGGAGGUGGCACUGUGUGUCCCAUGGAGGUGGCACUGGGUGUCCCAUGGGAGUGGCACUGGGUGUCCCAUGGAGGUGGCACUGGGUGUCCCAUGGAGGUGGCACUGGGUGUCCCAUGGGAGUGGCACUGGGUGUCACCAUGGAGGUGGCACUGUGUGUCCCAUGGGAGUGGCACUGGGUGUCCCAUGGAGGUGGCACUGUGUGUCCCAUGGGAGUGGCACUGGGUGUCCCAUGGAGGUGGCACUGGGUGUCCCAUGGGAGUGGCACUGUGUGUCCCAUGGAGGUGGCCCUGGGUGUCCCAUGCAGGUGACACUGGGUGUCCAUGCAGGUGGCCCUGGGUGUCCCAUGCAGGUGGCACCGGGUGUCCCAUGGAGGUGGCACUGGGUGUCCCAUGGAGGUGGCACUGGGUGUCCCCAUGGGGGUGGCACUGGGUGUCCCAUGGAGGUGGCCCUGGGUGUCCAUGCAGGUGGCACCGGGUGGCGGUCGCGGGCGGUGUCGCCGGGCGGGGCUGGCUGUGACGAGGCCGUGCCACCACCAGGUGUCCCCCUUGCACAGCGGCUCGAGGCUGGCGCUGCUCUGGGGACACGGGGGACACUGUGA